AGAGUUUGAUCAUGGCUCAGGAUGAACGCUGGCGGCGUGCCUAACACAUGCAAGUCGAGCGAUUCUCUUCGGAGAAGAGCGGCGGACGGGUGAGUAACGCGUGGGUAACCUGCCCUGUACACACGGAUAACAUACCGAAAGGUAUGCUAAUACGGGAUAAUGUACUUUUGUCGCAUGGCAGAAGUAUCAAAGCUCCGGCGGUACAGGAUGGACCCGCGUCUGAUUAGCUAGUUGGAGAGGUAAUGGCUCACCAAGGCAACGAUCAGUAGCCGACCUGAGAGGGUGAUCGGCCACAUUGGAACUGAGACACGGUCCAAACUCCUACGGGAGGCAGCAGUGGGGAAUAUUGCACAAUGGGCGAAAGCCUGAUGCAGCAACGCCGCGUGAGCGAUGAAGGCCUUCGGGUCGUAAAGCUCUGUCCUCAAGGAAGAUAAUGACGGUACUUGAGGAGGAAGCCCCGGCUAACUACGUGCCAGCAGCCGCGGUAAUACGUAGGGGGCUAGCGUUAUCCGGAAUUACUGGGCGUAAAGGGUGCGUAGGUGGUUUUUUAAGUCAGAAGUGAAAGGCUACGGCUCAACCGUAGUAAGCUUUUGAAACUGAGAAACUUGAGUGCAGAAGAGGAGAGUAGAAUUCCUAGUGUAGCGGUGAAAUGCGUAGAUAUUAGGAGGAAUACCAGUUGCGAAGGCGGCUCUCUGGACUGUAACUGACACUGAGGCACGAAAGCGUGGGGAGCAAACAGGAUUAGAUACCCUGGUAGUCCACGCCGUAAACGAUGAGUACUAGGUGUCUGGGGUUACCCCCCUCGGUGCCGCAGCUAACGCAUUAAGUACUCCGCCUGGGAAGUACGCUCGCAAGAGUGAAACUCAAAUGAAUUGACGG
rnacentral:rRNA from 1 species